AUUGAACGCUGGCGGAAUGCUUUACACAUGCAAGUCGAACGGCAGCACGGGGGCAACCCUGGUGGCGAGUGGCGAACGGGUGAGUAAUACAUCGGAACGUGCCCAGUCGUGGGGGAUAACGUAGCGAAAGUUACGCUAAUACCGCAUACGAUCUACGGAUGAAAGCGGGGGACCGUAAGGCCUCGCGCGAUUGGAGCGGCCGAUGUCAGAUUAGGUAGUUGGUGAGGUAAAGGCUCACCAAGCCGACGAUCUGUAGCUGGUCUGAGAGGACGACCAGCCACACUGGGACUGAGACACGUCCCAGACUCCUACGGGAGGCAGCAGUGGGGAACUUUGGACAAUGGGCGCAAGCCUGAUCCAGCCAUUCCGCGUGCAGGACGAAGGCCUUCGGGUUGUAAACUGCUUUUGUACGGAACGAAAAGGCUCUGGUUAAUACCUGGGGCUCAUGACGGUACCGUAAGAAUAAGCACCGGCUAACUACGUUACAGCCGCCGCAGUAA
rnacentral:rRNA from 1 species